UCCACACUACAUCUGUGAGUUUAGUUUAAGUUUGUUUCUUUUUGUGUUUCUGUAGCUCAAUCGAAUCUACCGGGAAAUUUAUGGGACCCGCUUCCUCAGAUGCUAUGUGAUAAGAUUAUGGCCUGGGUCAGUGGGUGUGGAUACAGAACUUAUUUUUAAAAACCAGACUGUGCUUCCAAAUGCAACAAGCAUUGAAGAAUCUCUAAAGACAGCAAUUGCUGAAUCAAAAGUGUUCCUUGGUGUGAUUCCUUCCAGUAUUACUGUUGUGGAACAGCAAUAUACAACUUCAACCACCAGCCACACUCAGACAUCACAAAGUGUUCCUAUAAUGCAAACAUCAUCUGCUGUUGCACCGGUUCUGUCUAGUAUGCUGUUCAUGCUUCUGCUUCUACUAUGGAAUGAAACACUGUAAUUCUGCAAAGCUUUACUCCAUGUGUCACAUUCAAACCUACAAUUAAUAUUGUGACAACUCUAUUAUCUGCUUUUGUGAUACAUUACUCUUAGUUUUAUGUAAUGAAAAUUGUGAUUUACCUGAUACAUUUAAUUAUUAUUCUUCAGGCAUUUCUUGGGAAUUUCAACACCUAUAACACCAUAACUUGUAUUUUGCCUAACCCUUCUUG